GACCCCGUCUGACUGCGCGUGUAUGCACUGCCACGCACCCUCAAGCGAGUUUCUUGUCGAGGUAAUUCUGAACCCUCGCUUCCGACACCCGACAAGCCGAGGUGUACCGGAGCUACACUCUGACAUCACUGUGGCUCCCGUCAACGUUUGAAAUGAUUCAACGAUACAACCAACGUUUUGGCCUCCAUUGCAAUAAGGUCUCGCCGAGUACAUUUGUAUAAUUUGCGGACACAUGCACUCGCCGUAAGGACCUUUAACUCUUGAAACCACAAUGGCGUACAUGAGUGUGCUGUGCUCGCACCUUUUGGGCCUGCCAGAAGAUCAACUGCAGCGCCUGGACGACGAACGCGGCCUCCCUCUUCCGAAGAUUCGAGGCAAGUCGAUUCAAAACGCUUUGGAAAAGAUCCGCGUACACGUGACAAACAUGCCCACUCUGAGGAGGCACCUGGAGACUGUAGCGCACAUAUACUGUUUUUUGGUGGAGCAGGGCGCGAUACAACCUUGGACACUUUAUCGUAUACCGGAAAGAGGAGACCACGCCCGCCUUGUUGGCGGUGUCCUGGAUUCCUUUGUGCGCCGUGGAACGGGAUGUUGGACCAAGAUGACGCCAACUUUCACGUGCACCUGUUUGAUGACUUCGGACGAGGUGGGAUGGAUGGUACACAAGGCUAGCUUCUUCUGCGUCUGGAGUGAGCCUUCAUGCGUUGCUGUCCACGAACCACCGCCGGGGCGCUCUCUGGCAGUCAGCCGUGUGCUCUUCCGUAUUUUGGGGACUCAGCCGCACUCGUUUCGGUGUGGAACUUAUCGAGACUUGAACGAGGCGCACGAUGCAGCACGGAGGUUUAUCCGGUGACAUUUCAUCUGGUCCGGUGUAGGCGCUGCACGGAAAACUUCAUUUCUUCUCCACCUAACCAUCCAUAUCACAUCGUGACGACGUCACUUGACAGACAUAAUCAGGCUCGAAAAUCGGUUUUAAUGAACCAGAAUGCCCCAACCAUUUGACCUGGUGGGAACGUUUGGUGUAUAUUCAGGUUGAUGAAUACUGUUCAAGUAGAGAAUACCAGUACCGCUUGAGACAAAAAGGCAAAUGUCAUAUUGUGCUUGCGCUAAGUCCCCUUUUCGAUUAAUGUUCAUUUACAAUUUCUUGCGAUUCUGUUAACCUGUGCUGCGAAAUUCGACGGCUCUUUACACUGCAUGUGACUUUUGUGAUUUGUACAGAAGUCGUGCAUCGAAUAAAGGUUCCACAUACCACAUUUUACUCAAGACAUGAAACACUUCUUGAUCCAUAUCAAUAAAAAAAAAGCUUGUGGAAU